GAGAACAAUAACUGCCUGUGGGCUUCUGCAGGACACAGUAUCAAAGUGGUCAGAGCUUGAGAAAAAUUUGGCUAAAUUCUUGUUUUUUAGAUGUUUUCCCCCAGCUAGUCUAAUGCUGUUUUAUCAUUUGUUUUUGGCUGUAGCGAUGGUUGCUGGGAUCGAGAAGCGACUAUUUGAAGGCGAAAGUGAGAAGGGCAAAGUACCCAAGUAUUCCCUCAACGAUUUGGACAAUGAACUGUUCAAAGUUGCGGGUGAAAUAUUCGGUGUGAGCAUUGCCCAAGGAAGACCAGCACCACGGUUUAUGCAGGAGUGGUGUUACCACUACCUCGUCACUGGGAACCUUAAAACUGAUGGUGUGCAUGACACAGAGUUGUCACCAUUAAUCAAAACGAUUCAAGAUGCAUCUGACCUGUCCCUCUACGUUGAAGAAAUCCUGGAUUGUAGCUACAAUGGUCAAAUCAACAUUGACCAUAAGGAAAGCAUAUUAAGGUGGACUCGCAUUAUGUUCUUUCACACCUGGCCCCAGAAAUGAGCCCACAUGGUUUGACUAAACACGUGAAGGAGUCAUAAAAUCUUGGAAUACUUCCAAGAUUUCCUCAUUGAAAUUGAGGACACACAACCAGAAAAUGAGGUUGAAGGAGAGACACCCUCUGUGCCCAUGGUGAUGCAAUGGAUGACUGGGCAAGCAUUCAGGCAUUUGCUUGUCUCAGAGAGACAGAAAUUCAAGACAGCGAUAGUAUUUGACCACAACUGUCUAGAGCACAUGCCAGGUCACACUGUAUGUUAUCCUAUUGUUAGUGCUUGCACCAACACAGUUACACUUCCAACAGCUCAUCUGAUAGAUUACGAUUCCUUUAAAACCAACCUGCAAACUGCCAUUAAAUAUGGUGCAAGCUUUGACAGACUGUAGCUUGUAAACUCUACUCUGUUCUAGUCUACUCUGUUCUACUUAGUUUGUUCAUCUAGUCUUUUCCCAUCCAUAUCUAAUUCUCUUGUUAGUUCAGUUCUUGCCACUCCCCAUUGCAAUGACAUCACCUCGUGUUUGGGUUCAAUCCUGUUCUAAGUAAGCGUUUGUAACAGACAUUAAGAAUCCAAACAUAAUGUCUUAGCGUUUGAAAUAAUGUCAAUGUUAUGUCCAAUUGUCAUUGCGAAGUGUAUAUUAAUGUGGUUCAAAACAAUAUGGCACACAUUUUGACAAAUGUUCUGUUCUGAUUGAAUAAAAAAAAAAACA